rnacentral:misc_RNA from 1 species
AUUCGUUUCACGCCCUCAACCCUAACUCAAAUCUCAACGACAACCCGACAUAUAUAUAUAUAUAUAUAUAUAUAUAUAUACAUACAUAUAUAUAUUUUAUACAUACAUACAUAUAUCAAUUUUUAUACACACAAUUAUACAUAUUCAUUUUCAUUUAAUAUUUUCAUUUAAUAAUUUAAUAAACCUUCGGCCCGCAAAGGCAAAUAAAUUCACGCAUAACAUUUCUCUUCAGCGGCAUUGUUCUAGGAUUGUAUUUGUUGAAAGAAGGAUAGCAUUAAGCGCUGGAAU